GAAAGUAAAUAAGGGCACAUGGGGGAUGCCUUGGCUCUCAGAGGCGAUGAAGGACGUGAUAAGCUGCGAUAAGCUACGGGGAGGUGCAAAUAACCAUUGAUCCGUGGAUUUCCGAAUGGGGCAACCCAUUAGAGGAAGACUCUAAUACACUGCAAGCAGUGAGCUAACGCGGGGAACUGAAACAUCUAAGUACCCGUAGGAAAAGAAAACAAAAGUGAUUCCCAAAGUAGUGGCGAGCGAAAUGGGACUAGCCCAAACCGAUAUUGUUUAGGCAAUAUCGGGGUUGUAGGACUGCGCCGUGGCAAGACCGUAAGGAAGUAGAACGUAUUGGAAAAUGCGAUCACAGAGGGUGAUAAUCCCGUAUACGAAUCUUUGCGUAAGCCUAGCAGUAUCCUGAGUAGCGCGGGACACGAGAAAUCCUGUGUGAAUCUGCCGGGACCAUCCGGUAAGGCUAAAUACUCCUGAGAGACCGAUAGUGAACCAGUACCGUGAGGGAAAGGUGAAAAGCACCUCGAACAGAGGAGUGAAAUAGACCCUGAAACCAUGUGCCUACAAGCGGUCGGAGCAAGUAAUUGUGACGGCGUGCCUUUUGCAUAAUGAACCUACGAGUUACUCUUACUGGCAAGGUUAAGUACAACGAUGUACCGAGCCGAAGCGAAAGCAAGUCUUAACAGGGCGGCUAGUCAGUAGGAGUAGACGCGAAACCAAGUGAUCUACCCUUGGGCAGGUUGAAGUUUGGGUAACACCAAAUGGAGGACCGAACCGGUAAACGUUGAAAAGUUUUCGGAUGACCUGAGGGUAGGGGUGAAAGGCUAAUCAAACUUGGAGAUAGCUCGUACUCCCCGAAAUGCAUUUAGGUGCAGCCUCGGCUUAUAACUUAUGUCAGGUAGAGCGACAGAGUGGACGCGAGGGUUUCGCCGCCUAUCAAGUCCAGAUAAACUCCGAAUGGGCAUAAGUUUUUACCGGGAGUGAGGGCAUGGGUGCUAAGGUCCAUGUCCGAGAGGGAAAGAACCCAGACCAUCAGCUAAGGUCCCCAAAUACAUGUUAAGUUGAAUUAACGAAGUAUGACUACUAAGACAGCUAGGAUGUUGGCUUGGAAGCAGCCAUUCAUUUAAAGAGUGCGUAACAGCUCACUAGUCGAGUGGUCGUGCGUGGAUAAUAAUCGGGCAUCAAACAUGUUACCGAAGCUAUGGGAUAAAUAUUAUCGGUAGGGGAGCAUUCUGCUCAGCGUUGAAGGCGAACCGUCAGGUUCUCUGGAGCGUGCAGAAAAGCAAAUGUAGGUAUAAGUAACGAUAAAGGAGGUGAGAAACCUCCUCGCCGAAAGACUAAGGUUUCCUGAUCAACGCUAAUCGGAUCAGGGUAAGUCGGGCCCUAAGGCUAAGCCGAACGGCAAUGCCGAUGGAAGAACCGGUUAAUAUUCCGGUACUGUAUUAAUGAGUGAAGUGGGGACGCAGGAGUGACACUACUGCCAUCUGACGGAUUAGAUGGUUAAAGGGAGUAGGCGUUGACGAGGGUAGGCAAAUCCGCCCUUGGAGCUGAAUCUGAUAGUACUACAAACCUUCGGGUGCGUAGAUAAUGUAGGUAAUCCGACUGCCGAGAAAAUCCGCUAAACGCUAAUCAUUAAUGCAUCCGUACCACAAACGGACACACGUAGUCGGGUUGAAAAUACUAAGGCGCUCGAGCGAUUCACAGUUAAGGAAUUAGGCAAAAUGACCCUGUAACUUCGGGAUAAAGGGUGCCAUCUGAAAGGGUGGCCGCAGAGAAUAGGUCAAGGCAACUGUUUAUCAAAAACACAUGGCUAUGCUAAUAAGAAAUUAGAUGUAUAUAGUCUGACACCUGCCCGGUGCUGGAAGGUUAAGAGGAGAAGUCAUCAGGCAACUGAGAAGCUUUGAAUUGAAGCCCCAGUAAACGGCGGCCGUAACUAUAACGGUCCUAAGGUAGCGAAAUUCCUUGUCGGGUAAGUUC
rnacentral:rRNA from 1 species